rnacentral:tRNA from 3 species
UAUGAGGUGGUCGAAGUUAUAGUCGGUAGAUUGUAAAUCUAUUUAUAAGUGUUUACUUUCUCAU